UUGCACCACUGCAGUCCAGCUCGGGAGACAGAGACCCUGUCAAGAAAAAAAAAAAUUGUUUUCUUUUGCUCUCUCUUAUAUUUCUCUAAAUCUCUCUCCACUUCCCUGAGUCAGAGGUUCCCUAGACUGGCAACUGGAUCAGCCCCAGAGAAAGCCAGGAUUGCUCACUGCUGGGGAAGGGGCUCCACAGAAACUGCGAUAUUGUGGUGCCACUCCCCUUGCUGCCAUCUCCCUGAAGAGAGACAGCGGUUCCUGCCUAGUCUUUAUUGUAAUACGGAUAACAAUAGAAGCAGGUGAAGAGUCUGAGGCUCAGAGACUGGGGAGCUGAAACAUGCCGAGCAGGAGGAAGUAGGGGACAGCUCCUUCAUUCUGAACUCAAGCUCGAUGCCACUCCCAGAGGGCUCUGGAAAGAAUCUUGUUGGAGACGAGGUCAUCCCCAUGUGCUGUUUUCCAGUUGCUGGCAGUUGGCUCAACACCCCUUCCUGCCAGAGGCCUUCUGCUAACGUGCCAGCUGCUUCUGACACCUGGAGGUGCCUGGCCGCCCCUGCUUUGAAGUGGAGCCAACAGGGAGCUGCUGCCAGUGACAGUCUGCACAGAUCUAUUGGAUCAUGGAGGGACCCUUGUGGGCCAUGCCUCGGGGCUAGAGAGAGGGACUCUGGGGGAGAAGUAGAGACACUUUGGUUCAGGCUGUCCGGAGCAGAACCAUGUGUGGGGUAGAGCCUAGGACAGGCAACUGGAGUGGAGAAAGAGCACAUGGCUGGUCUGCGACUGGCCACUUUCUCCCUCCCCUGCUGACUUCCAGCAGCUGGGAUAGGCAGUCUGGCUGGGAGUUGUAAGGGUGCCAAGUAAGCAACAGCUUCCAGCCUGAACCUACUGACUUGCCAACUUCCUAUUCACCCCUAAUUAGGGUCAGUUUCCCUGGUCUAGUGGCAUGGGCUGCACCCAUUUUCCUGAAGUUCUGGAUUAGUUGACCCCAGGAUUAAGUCCCAGUUCCACCAUUCACUGGCCAAGUGACUGUUUCCCUCUGAGCCUCAGUUUCCUCAUCUGUGAAGAGGAUACAAUCAUAGUUCCUGUUUCCCAGGAUUCUUGUAGAGAGUCAGCGUGAUGAUGUUAUAUAUGCUAGUGUCUAACAGGCACUCAGAAUGAGCUCCAGAUGUAAUCAGUAAGUAUAUUCUAUCUGGUUUAAACUGUGGGAGAGCCCCAAAGAGCAAAUAAAAAUAGAGCCCAGAGAAAGUGUGUGCUGCCAUCAUCCACCAGGCAGAGGUCUCAGGCGGAAGCCAGCGAUCAGUUUCCGGUUUACUUUUGGGGGAAACCAGCCCUCAGCCAGGGCCAGAAAGAAAAGCCACUUUCCGGCCAGGCGCGUUGGCUCACGUCUGUAAUCCCAGCACUUUGGGAGGCCGAGGCGGGCGGAUCACAAGGUCAGGAG